UAGGGAAUCUUCGGCAAUGGACGAAAGUCUGACCGAGCAACGCUGCGUGAGUGAAGAAGGUUUUCGGAUCGUAAAACUCUGUUGUUAGAGAAGAACAAGGACGUUAGUAACUGAACGUCCCCUUACGGUAUCUAACCAGAAAGCCACGGCUAACUACGUGCCAGCAGCCGCGGUAAUACGUAGGUGGCAAGCGUUUUCCGGAUUUAUUGGGCGUAAAGCGAGCGCAGGCGGUUUCUUAAGUCUGAUGUGAAAGCCCCCGGCUCAACCCGGGAGGGUCAUUGGAAACUGGGAGUCGUGAGUGCAGAAGAGGAGAGUGGAUUUCCAUGUGUAGCGGUGAAUUGCGUAGAUAUAUGGAGGAAAACCAGUGGCGAAGGCGGCUCUCUGGUCUGAAAGUGACGCUGAGGCUAGAAAGCGUGGGGAGCAAACAGG
rnacentral:rRNA from 1 species